AGCGAACGCUGGCGGCGUGCUUAACACAUGCAAGUCGAGUGCGUAGCCCUUUGUAGCAAUACAGAGGGUGGGCGCACGGCGCACGGGUGAGUAACACGUGGGUAACCUGCCCUUCGGUGGGGAAUAACCCCGCGAAAGCGGGGCUAAUUCCGCAUAACAUUCCGGGGACACAUGUUCUCGGACUCAAAGGAGUGAUUCGCCGGAGGAGGGGCCCGCGCCCGAUUAGCUUGUUGGUAGGGUAACGGCCACCAAGGCUUUGAUCGGUAGCCGGUCUGAGAGGAUGGCCGGCCACACUGGAACUGAGACACGGUCCAGACUCCUACGGGAGGCAGCAGUGGGGAAUCUUGCGCAAUGGGCGAAAGCCUGACGCAGCGACGCCGC
rnacentral:rRNA from 1 species